rnacentral:rRNA from 1 species
AACACGGGUUUGCGUUGUUCGGAUCACUGGGCGUAAGGGUGCGUAGGCGGUCGGGUAAGUCUGACGUGAAAUCUUCAAGCUCAACUUGGAAACUGCGUCGGAUACUAUUCGGCUAGAGGAAUGGAGGGGAGACUGGAAUACUUGGUGUAGCAGUGAAAUGCGUAGAUAUCAAGUGGAACACCAGUGGCGAAGGCGAGUCUCUGGACAUUUCCUGACGCUGAGGCACGAAAGCCAGGGGAGCAAACGGGAUUAGAUACCCCGGUAGUCCUGGCCCUAAACGGUGCACGUUUGCUGUAAGAGGAAUCGACCCCUUUUGUGGCGAAGCUAACGCGUUAAACGUGCCGCCUGGGAAGUACGGCCGCAAGGUUAAAACUCAAAGAAAUUGACGGGGGCCUGCACAAGCGGUGGAGUAUGUGGCUUAAUUCGAUGCAACGCGAAGAACCUUACCUGGCCUUGACAUGCACAUAGUAGAAGCCUGAAAGGGUGACGAGGUAGCAAUACCAGUGUGCACAGGUGCUGCAUGGCUGUCGUCAGCUCGUGUCGUGAGAUGUUGGGUUAAGUCCCGCAACGAGCGCAACCCCUGUGUCCUGUUGCCACCCCUUAACUGGGAGCACUCUGGACAGACUGCCUCGCUUCAACGAGGAGGAAGGUGGGGAUGACGUCAAGUCAGUAUGGCCCUUACGGCCAGGGCUGCACACGUACUACAAUGCCCGGCACAAAGGGAAGCAAGACCGUCAGGUGGAGCAAAUCCCAGAAAACCGGGCCCAGUUCAGAUUGUCGUCUGCAACUCGACGACAUGAAGCUGGAAUCGCUAGUAAUGGCGCAUCAGCUACGGCGUCCGUGAAUACGUUCCCAGGCCUUGUACACACCGCCCGUCACAUCAUGAAAGCCGGUGUACCCGAAGUCGCCCCUUAAAAGUGCCGAAGUAUGGCUGAACUGAUGG